rnacentral:rRNA from 1 species
UAAUACGAAGGGGGCUAGCGUUGUUCGGAAUUACUGGGCGUAAAGGGCGCGUAGGCGGUCGAGCGCGUCAGAUGUGAAAGCCCCGGGCUCAACCUGGGAACCGCAUUUGAAACGGCUGGACUCGAGUUCGGGAGAGGAUGGUGGAAUUCCCAGUGUAGAGGUGAAAUUCGUAGAUAUUGGGAAGAACACCGAGGGCGAAGGCAGCCAUCUGGACCGACACUGACGCUGAGGCGCGAAAGCGUGGGGAGCAAACAGGAUUAGAUACCCUGGUAGUCCACGCCGUAAACGAUGAGUGCUAGCCGCUGGGACGCAUGCGUGUCGGUGGCGGAGCUAACGCAUUAAGCACUCCGCCUGGGGAGUACGGCCGCAAGGUUA